UGUGCACACUUCCCUGCUUCUGUUCAUGAUGUUCUCUGAACCUGGGAUCACCUUUCCCCUUCCUCUUACCUGCCCGAUCCUACUUGUCCUCCCAGAUUCAGUUUUCUGAAGCUCAGAGGGACACCUUGUAUUGCUGGAUGAUAAAAACAGGAGCAAAGUGAUGAAGUGCUGACAAGGCAACAAUAGAACAUGAGAGAUUCACUGCUGUGUAGGAAGAGAUCUUCGGUGACCAUGUAGCCUGAAGCUCUCAUUUUGUCAUCGAGGGACACCAAAACUCAGAACAGCAGCUCACGCUGCUGAUGCAACACAGGUGAAGAGCACCUUCCCCUCCCCCACCUGUGGGCUGAUUCCCACCACGUGGAU
rnacentral:lncRNA from 10 species